rnacentral:rRNA from 1 species
AGUGAACGCUGGCGGUAGGCCUAACACAUGCAAGUCGAACGGCAGCACAGUAAGAGCUUGCUCUUACGGGUGGCGAGUGGCGGACGGGUGAGGAAUACAUCGGAAUCUACUUUUUCGUGGGGGAUAACGUAGGGAAACUUACGCUAAUACCGCAUACGACCUACGGGUGAAAGCAGGGGAUCUUCGGCCCUUGCGCGAUUGAAUGAGCCGAUGUCGGAUUAGCUAGUUGGCGGAGUAAAGGCCCACCAAGGCGACGAUCCGUAGCUGGUCUGAGAGGAUGAUCAGCCACACUGGAACUGAGACACGGUCCAGACUCCUACGGGAGGCAGCAGUGGGGAAUAUUGGACAAUGGGCGCAAGCCUGAUCCAGCCAUACCGCGUGGGUGAAGAAGGCCUUCGGGUUGUAAAGCCCUUUUGUUGGGAAAGAAAAGCAGCAGGUUAAUACCCCGCUGUUCUGACGGUACCCAAAGAAUAAGCACCGGCUAACUUCGUG